rnacentral:lncRNA from 10 species
CUGGUCUUGCGACCUGUUAGCUUCCUUCAUCAGGCAUGAGCACCAGGAUGGCAGGGGCCUCAUCUGUCCUAUUCCUCCUGUGGCCUGGGUCCUAGCACCAUGUCUGGUACAGUGUAGGUGCUCAAGGGAAGUUUACUUUAUAGAACUGUCUACCUGGGAGAUGUUGCUGUUAGUCUAACCUGUACCAUUUUGUAAACCUGCAGCCAUUUUGCACACCCUGGUCAGAAUGAAACAUUCCUUGGGAACUCGGGCCGUGAGAAGCAUCCUUCCUGAUCACCUGACUGUAGAAACAUCCUUAUCGCACCCUCCCGGGCAAAGGCCCAACAGCCUGACUGCAGGAACAUCCUUGCCAUAUCCUGCCGGGCAGCAAGCUCUACAGCCCAGACCCCUCCUUCCCAGUCCCAUGAUCACCCCAGCCUGUGAGAGGCAGUUGGUGCUGGCAGUAAGCUGGUUUCCUCCUCUGCAGGGUUUUGCUAGUAAUAAAGGUGUUGCUGUUGAAGCCGC